rnacentral:rRNA from 1 species
CCUACGGGUGGCUGCACUUAGGAAUCUUGCGCAAUGGGCGAAAGCCUGACGCAGCGACGCCGCGUGAAGGAUGAAGUCUUUCGGGAUGUAAACUUCUUUUGUUCGGGAUGAAGAAUGUGACAGUACCGAACGAAUAAGCCCCGGCUAACUACGUGCCAGCAGCCGCGGUAAUACGUAGGGGGCGAGCGUUGUCCGAAUUUACUGGGCGUAAAGCGCGCGUAGGCGGGCCGUUAAGUGAGAGGUGAAAGGCUGGGGCUCAACCGCAGCAGUGCCUCUCAUACUGGCGGUCUUGAGGGCGGUAGGGAGAAGUGGAAUGGCUGGUGUAGCGGUGAAAUGCGUAGAUAUCAGUCGGAACACCGGUGGCGAAGGCGGCUUCUUGGGCCGUUCCUGACGCUGAGGCGCGAAAGCCAGGGGAGCGAACG